rnacentral:tRNA from 2 species
GCGCCUGUAGCUCAGCUGGAUAGAGCACCAGACUACGAAUCUGGGGGCCGUAGGUUCGAAUCCUACCAGGCGCGCCA